GACGAACGCUGGCGGCGUGCUUAACACAUGCAAGUCGAACGGUGAUCUUGGGAGCUUGCUCCUGGGUGAUCAGUGGCGAACGGGUGAGUAACACGUGAGUAACCUGCCCCAGACUCUGGGAUAACUCCGGGAAACCGGUGCUAAUACUGGAUAUGACGCUCCGUUGCAUGGUGGGGUGUGGAAAGUUUUUUCGGUCUGGGAUGGGCUCGCGGCCUAUCAGCUUGUUGGUGGGGUGAUGGCCUACCAAGGCGACGACGGGUAGCCGGCCUGAGAGGGCGACCGGCCACACUGGGACUGAGACACGGCCCAGACUCCUACGGGAGGCAGCAGUGGGGAAUAUUGCACAAUGGGCGCAAGCCUGAUGCAGCGACGCCGCGUGAGGGAUGACGGCCUUCGGGUUGUAAACCUCUUUCAGCAGGGAAGAAGCGCAAGUGACGGUACCUGCAGAAGAAGCACCGGCUAACUACGUGCCAGCAGCCGCGGUAA
rnacentral:rRNA from 1 species